UCAUGUAUUCACAGCUGCUGGUCAUUUCCUACGUAAUUCUUUGGCAGAUAUUUCACACAAAUUUUGGCAAUAUUUAUAUCUGAAAUAUUUUAAUCAUCAUCUCAAAAUUGUCGUUUUAUUAUGUCAAUCGUAAUACUUGGACGUGUAAGGGGGGAAAAUAUUUCUGAUCCAGUGGAGCACGUACUAGAUUUAAAUUCCAAUUUAGAGAGACACCCAGACCAGUUGCGGUAGCACAUUUAAGCCAAAUGGCCGACAUUAUGUAAAUACAAUUUAUUUCGUAGCUCAUUCCAAAAUAUUUUAUUAAAAUGCGUUCCGCAAAUUUUGCAAUUUUAACAAUUCAUGCUCACAUCUUAGAAGCCUGAAAGGUCGGUUCACAACUUUUUAAUAUUGCGGGUUACUUAUUUUUGCGUAGGAAAAAGUCGUUUUUUACCGACGUAAACUACACAUUUUUCGCAAAUUCUUCAUCAAUUAGAAUUUUCGUUUCAUUUUCAAAUAGAUUUCCAUUUAAAAUUAUGUAGUCCCACAUUUCGCAACUUCACCUGUCGCGAACCACGCAGACAUACGACGCUUAAGACCAGCAUCCAGAGAUUGACGACUAUCUCGUCUAAGUGGAUCCAGGCCCACCCCCCUCCAAGUCUACUCGAGUCGCAUCUCCUACACUUUUCGCACCCGGAAUGCCACGUGUGGCUUCCUAAAACGCUUCCUCGCCGCCUUAACAACACUACCGUUCAUGUGCUACACCUUAAUCGCUUCUGUGGGCCAAAACCUGGGUGGGAUCCCGAUCAGAGGUCAACGCCGCCGAUUAUACGCCGCCGCGCCGCCAGACGCCGGUAGUGUUUUACGCGCCGCCGCCGCCGAUAAAUCUUAUUUCCUAUACCUACAACAUUGUGGCGCCGCGCCGCGCCGAAAAAUCCUCGAAAAUUGUCCCCGCCGCCGCCGACAAACUCGUCAGCGUUGACCUCUGAUCCCGAUGUACUGCGAGGGCGAAGGGGCCUCCAUCCUGACCCAAGUGGGCUUCACGAUUCCACUAGUUUUCCCCAUCCUCGUCACAAUUCAGGAAAAUUUGGCAUUGUAAACGUUCCGAACUACAUGAAACUGAGGAACCGUUUUUAACGAAAAAACGAGCAACAUAUUUCAUAGGGUGGCUCUAUUUUUGCAAAUUUGUCUGCUCUUAAUAACGCUCGUAUGGGGGUAGUCUCCCUGAUUAUGUUUCGUACCUUGUCCAACUUCUGGGUUUUUGAGGGGGCCGAAAAAAUAUUACAAAUGAUUACAAGAUUAUAAAAAGACUGCUUUACCACUUCGACAUACAUAUGUGCAUAAUAUACACGCACUUGUUGUUGAUGUAUUCAUGUCAUGGUUUACAAUAAAUGGAAUUUUUAUGUGGGUUAAGUUUA